rnacentral:rRNA from 1 species
GAUGAACGCUGGCGGCGUGCCUAAUACAUGCAAGUCGAGCGAACGGACGAGAAGCUUGCUUCUCUGAUGUUAGCGGCGGACGGGUGAGUAACACGUGGAUAACCUACCUAUAAGACUGGGAUAACUUCGGGAAACCGGAGCUAAUACCGGAUAGUAUUUUGAACCGCAUGGUUCAAAAGUGAAAGACGGUCCUGCUGUCACUUAUAGAUGGAUCCGCGCUGCAUUAGCUAGUUGGUAAGGUAACGGCUUACCAAGGCAACGAUGCAUAGCCGACCUGAGAGGGUGAUCGGCCACACUGGAACUGAGACACGGUCCAGACUCCUACGGGAGGCAGCAGUAGGGAAUCUUCCGCAAUGGGCGAAAGCCUGACGGAGCAACGCCGCGUGAGUGAUGAAGGUCUUCGGAUCGUAAAACUCUGUUAUUAGGGAAGAACAUAUGUGUAAGUAACUGUGCACAUCUUGACGGUACCUAAUCAGAAAGCCACGGCUAACUACGUG